AGUCCUCCGGAGGCUGAGAGCAAACGGCUGCACUAGGAACCCAGCAGUCAGACCGGCCCCCACCCUGGAGUGAACACAUCGCCACUGCCAGGCAUCGCAGGGAGGAUUACCCCAAUGGCACCUGGCUGGGCGACGAGAACAACCCCGAGAUGCGGGUGCACUGCGCCAUCAUCCCCUCCGACAUGCUGCACAUCAGCACCAACUGCCGCACGGCCGAGGAGAUGGUGCUCACGCUGCUGGACUACCUCUUCCACCGCGAGGUGCAGGCUGUGUCCAGCCUCUCGGGGCAGGGCAAGCACGGGAAGAAGCAGCUGGACCCGCUCACCAUCUAUGGCAUCCGGUGUCACCUUUUCUAUAAAUUUGGCAUCACAGAAUCUGACUGGUACCGAAUCAAGCAGAGCAUCGACUCCAAGUGCCGCACGGCGUGGCGGCGCAAGCAGUGGGGCCAGAGCCUGGUGGUCAAGAGCUUCUCGUGGAGAAUGCCCAACUCAUCCUCCUACUGCCCCUCAGAGCCGAUGAUGAGCACCCCACCUCCUGCCAGAGAGCUCCUGCAGCCACAGCUGCAGCCGCAGGCCCUGCACUACGCGCUGGCCAACGUGCAGCAGGUGCAGAUCCACCAGAUCGGAGAAGACGGACAGGUGCAAGUAGGACACCUCCACAUCGCCAAGGUGCCACAGGGGGAGCAAGUCCAGAUCACGCAGGACAGCGAGAGCCCGUGUUCUGGUACUACGUGAAGGAGGUCCUCAACAAGCACGAGCUGCAAGCGCUUCUACUCCCUGCGCCACAUCGCCUCAGACGUGGGCCGGGGCCGCACCUGGCUGCGCUGUGCCCUCAACGAACACUCCCUGGAGCGCUACCUGCACAUGCUCCUGGCCGACCGCUGCAGGCUCAGUACUUUUUAUGAAGACUGGUCUUUUGUGAUGGAUGAAGAGAGGUCCAGUAUGCUUCCUACCAUGGCAGCAGGUCCGAACUCCAUACUCUUUGCGAUUAACAUUGACAACAAGGAUUUGAACGGGCAGAGUAAGUUUGCUCCCACCGUUUCAGACCUCUUAAAGGAGUCAACGCAGAAUGUGACCUUGCUGAAGGAGUCCACGCAAGGAGUGAGCAGCGUGUUCAGGGAGAUCACAGCCUCCUCUGCCAUCUCCAUCCUCAUCAAACCUGAACAGGAGACCGACCCCUUGCCCGUCGUGUCCAGGAAUGUCAGUGCUGAUGCCAAAUGCAAAAAGGAGCGGAAGAAGAAAAAGCAAGUGACCAACAUUAUCUCAUUUGAUGAUGAGGAAGAUGAGCAGAACUCUGGGGACAUGUUUAAAAAGACACCUGGGGCAGGGGAGAGCUCAGAGGACAACUCCGACCACUCCUCUGUCAAUAUCAUGUCCGCCUUUGAAAGCCCCUUCGGGCCAAACUCCAAUGGAAGUCAGAGCAGCAACUCGUGGAAAAUUGAUUCCCUGUCUUUGAACAGGGAGUUUGGGUACCAGAAGCUUGAUGUGAAAAGCAUCGAUGAUGAAGAUGUGGAUGAAAACGAAGAUGACGUGUAUGGAAACUCAUCAGGACGGAAGCACAGGGGCCACUCAGAGUCGCCCGAGAA